AUUGAACGCUGGCGGCAGGCCCAACAAAUGCAAGCUGAGCGGAUGAAGGGAGCUUGCUCCUGGAUUCAGCGGCGGACGGGUGAGUAAUGCCUAGGUAACUGCCUGGUAGUGGGGGAUAACGUCGGGAAACGGGCGCUAAUACCGCAUACGUCCCGAGGGAGAAAGUGGGGGAUCUUCGGACCUCACGCUAUCAGAUGAGCCUAGGUCGGAUUAGCUAGUUGGUGGGGUAAAGGCCUACCAAGGCGACGAUCCGUAACUGGUCUGAGAGGAUGAUCAGUCACACUGGAACUGAGACACGGUCCAGACUCCUACGGGAGGCAGCAGUUUGGAAUAUUCGACGAUGGGCGAAUGUCUGAUCCAACCAUGCCGCGGGUGUGAAGAAUGUCUUCGGAAUAGAAAGCACUUUAAGUUGGUAGGAAGGUUAUUAAGUUUUUGCCUUACUGUUUUGACGUUGCCAACAGAGUAUACACCGGCUAACUUCGUG
rnacentral:rRNA from 1 species